UUUUUUCAGGAACUCAUUGUGUCUUCUUUCUCCCAUCCCAGGUAUUCUUUCCAAAUGGCUAUGUAGUCAAAUUCCCUGAAGAGGAAGUUGACAGUCUGUACAGAGUCCCAGGUAGCUGGAAUUGGACCUUGGAUCCAUCAUUCUCACAUCUGUCCUGCUGCUCCGCCCUUGCCGUCCGUCAGAAAGAGGUGGAAAGUAACCCGGCACCUGACUGACCCACUUAAUGUGUGCAUC
rnacentral:lncRNA from 1 species